rnacentral:lncRNA from 1 species
CAGAUAACGGGUGAAGAUAUAUACGUAAGUGCUGUUAAACAAGGUGUCAGCCAUCUUUUGUCACUAAUAUACUUCAUCAGUAAAAGUAAUGUUAAUGACUGUCAGUGAAGAAAUGUAUUGGAGAAAACAGUAAUGUAACUUGAGAGUAAAACUGCAGUCUUAGCCACCUAAUUUUUUUUAGAUAAAAGCUAUCUAAUUUUUUUUUCAAGCUGCAGAAAACAACAGUCCGGCACAACUGGAUCAAAGGGGUUGUUGCCCAACUGUUUUAUAAACAAGUGCAUCUUGAAAAAUGUGGGUGCAAUGUAAAUUGAGGAAAUAGAGGCUGGGAUUUAGUGACGUACUACACGUAAAUCACUAAUUAGCGGGAUGAGUUCUCUAUCCCUCCAGACUCAGGUUCUUCUCCUUGAGGCCUUGAGUUCCAGUUCACCUUGAAUAGGAGCAUGUGGUCGUUUCUUUUCAUCACCUUCUAAGAGCUGAAUAGACAGAAAUAAUGUACAGAUUAGAAGCAUGUUUCAGUCCAAGACUGAAGAGCCAAAUUCAGCCAAUACAAAAUUAGAUAUUUUGAUACAUAUAUGGAUCGAACGAAGUUUGUUAGUAGUACCUUUUCUUCCGCCUCGUCCUCGUCCCCGCCUUCACUCUCAUACACGACCUCGCGGAAUAUGUGAUCAUGAGCACGUUUGAAAGCAUCCCUC